rnacentral:rRNA from 1 species
UCCUGGCUCAGGACGAACGUUGGCGGCGUGCCUAAUACAUGCAAGUCGAACGGUCUUUCUAUGGAAGCUUGCUUCCACUGAGAAGAUAGUGGCGAACGGGUGAGUAACACGUGGGUAACCUGCCCAUAAGAGGGGGGAUAACAUCCGGAAACGGGUGCUAAUACCGCAUAGUUUCUUGAUCGCAUGAUCGGGAAAGGAAAGACGGCCUUUGUGCUGUCGCUUAUGGAUGGACCCGCGGCGUAUUAGUUAGUUGGUGAGGUAACGGCUCACCAAGACGAUGAUACGUAGCCGACCUGAGAGGGUGAUCGGCCACAUUGGGACUGAGACACGGCCCAAACUCCUACGGGAGGCAGCAGUAGGGAAUCUUCCGCAAUGGACGAAAGUCUGACGGAGCAACGCCGCGUGAGUGAAGAAAGGUUUUCGGAUCGUAAAACUCUGUUGUCAGAGAAGAACAAGUUGGAGAGUAACUGCUCCAGCCUUGACGGUAUCUGACCAGAAAGCCACGGCUAACUACGUGCCAGCCGCAGC